AGCGUUUUGGUGUUCUCAUUACAAUGAGCAAAAACUGACCAAAAAGUGCUAAAUAUGCAAGUCUUGACGCUAAAAGAUUUAUCAUCCCAAGAUUCAACUGGAAGGUUCUUGUGUGUGCUGCUCGAAUAUGGAAGUGUAGGCAUCAGAAAAACAAAGCAGAACUUAUAUGAGCUAGAGUUUAUUGUCGAUGAGGCUGAAGAUCAAAGAAGAAGCACAUA